AGAAAGUUUUUGAAACAUAAAAGGUAUUCAGUAGUCCCUGAAUUGAAUUACAUCAUAUGAGUAGAGUGAACAUAAUCUGGUUUACCAUGUAGUAUUUUAAAAUUGAAGAAUUUAAUGAAUACCUACCAUGUACAAAAAAAUUGUAUUAAAGGAUGAAAGCACACAGAUAACUAAGACAUAGUAUCUGCCUUUAUGAAACUCACUGGGUAAGUGUGAGAAUGCCAUGUCAACAAAUCAGCAUAAUACAGUAACAGAGUACAUGGGGGAAGGGGCCACUAACUCUGAUGGGAAAGGUCAAGUUAAGGGCAUUAGGCACUUUCCUAUAAACAACAGCAAGACAACAAAGGUUUAUAAGCAGACUGCAGGGUGAACUGAAGCCAGGCUGAAUUUAGGGGCAAGGAGACCAGCUAACAAGCUGUGCCAUUUACCCUUCUGACUGUGAACUAUUGACUGCUUCUGACUGCUUACAGAGUAAGAAGUAAGAGAAAUGAUAAAGAGAACAGGCUCAAGAGAUAGUCAAGAGAGAGUCUUGCAUUCUUCAUAGAACUCAGAAUCGUAUUUCACUGGCCUUAGGAAGAUGCACUCCCAAUGCCCUGCAAUUCUAAUUCUAAAAUCUUGGAUUCAGUAGCUGUCAGCUGGGUCAAAAGGUCAGCCCCUUGAUGCUGUUUCCUCUCUUCUUCCCACUGUCUUUUCUAGAAUAUAAACAAUCAUGCUCCUCAAAUUCCCAUCAGAUAGGAAAUUGUGAUUCCAGGGAAAUAGGCCAAAAUUAGCCAGCUUCCUCUCUAUGAGCAGGCCUCUUCUCGAUAAAUAAAAUCCUAUUUCCUUUGAAACCAGAAACCUUGCUUAAUAUCCAAUAUCAAUAUCAAAGAGCAAUUCUUCUCCUUCUUAUGACCAAAAAAAAAAAAAAACAGAUCUAAGAUUAAACAUUUCUUAAGACAAGAGUUUUAGGACCUCUCUCAGUCAGAAUAUGCUUGAUAAAAUGACUUUUCCAGUAUACUAUUUUUAGCUUUCAUCUUUUUCCUACCAAAAUAUGUUCUCACUGGUACAAAAUGUUAGCUUACAUGCAAUAAGAGUCAUUUUUCUCCAACUCUGUUAUUAGUAGGAAAAAAACUCC
rnacentral:lncRNA from 1 species